UACGAAGGGGGCGAGCGUUGUUCGGAAUCACUGGGCUUAAAGCGUACGUAGGCGGAUUUGCAAGUCAGAAGUGAAAUCCCGGGGCUCAACCCCGGAAUUGCUUUUGAAACUGCAUAACUAGAGUCCCGGAGAGGUUGGCGGAAUUCCGAGUGUAGAGGUGAAAUUCGCAGAUAUUCGGAGGAACACCAGUGGCGAAGGCGGCCAACUGGACGGGUACUGACGCUGAGGUACGAAAGCGUGGGGAGCAAACAGG
rnacentral:misc_RNA from 1 species